UACAGAGACUGCAAGCGUUAUUCGGAUUCACUGGGCGUAAAGGGUGCGCAGGCGGUUGGGUGUGUCAGAUGUGAAAUCCCGAGGCUUAACCUCGGAACUGCGCCUGAAACUACUCGACUAGAGUACUGGAGAGGGAAACGGAAUUCACGGUGUAGCAGUGAAAUGCGUAGAUAUCGUGAGGAACACCAGAGGCGAAGGCGGUUUCCUGGACAGUUACUGACGCUCAGGCACGAAAGCAUGGGGAGCAAAAGGG
rnacentral:rRNA from 1 species